UACAGAGGUCCCAAGCGUUGUUCGGAUUCAUUGGGCGUAAAGGGUGCGUAGGUGGCGCUGUAAGUCGGGUGUGAAAUCUCCGGGCUCAACCCGGAAAUGGCAUUGGAAACUACCUUGCUGGAGGAUUUGAGGGGGGAUUGGAAUACUUGGUGUAGCAGUGAAAUGCGUAGAUAUCAAGUGGAACACCAGUGGCGAAGGCGAAUCCCUGGAAAAUACCUGACACUGAGGCACGAAAGCUAGGGGAGCAAACAGG
rnacentral:rRNA from 1 species